GCAGGUAGCCUAGUGGUUAGAGCGUAGGGGCGGCAGGUAGCCUAGUGGUCAGAGUGUAGGGGCGGCAGGUAGCCUAGUGGUUAGAGUGUAGGGGCGGCAGGUAGCCUAGUGGUUAUAGUGUGGGGCGGCAGGUAGCCUAGUGGUUAGAGUGUAGGGGCGGCAGGUAGCCUAGUGGUUAUAGUGUGGGGCGGCUAGUAGCCUAGUAGUUAUAGUGUGGGGCGGCAGGUAGCCUAGUGGUUAGAGUGUAGGGGCGGCAGGUAGCCUAGUGGUUAGAGUGUAGGGGCGGCAGGUAGCCUAGUGGUUAUAGUGUGGGGCGGCUAGUAGCCUAGUAGUUAUAGUGUGGGGCGGCAGGUAGCCUAGUGGUUAGAGUGUAGGGGCGGCAGGUAGCCUAGUGGUUAUAGUGUGGGGCGGCAGGUAGCCUAGUGGUUAGAGCGUAGGGGCGGCAGGUAGCCUAGUGGUCAGAGUGUAGGGGCGGCAGGUAGCCUAGUGGUUAGAGUGUAGGGGCGGCAGGUAGCCUAGUGGUUAUAGUGUGGGGCGGCAGGUAGCCUAGUGGUUAGAGUGUAGGGGCGGCAGGUAGCCUAGUGGUUAUAGUGUGGGGCGGCUAGUAGCCUAGUAGUUAUAGUGUGGGGCGGCAGGUAGCCUAGUGGUUAGAGUGUAGGGGCGGCAGGUAGCCUAGUGGUUAGAGUGUGGGGCGGCAAGUAGCCUAGUGGUUAGAGCGUAGGGGCGGCAGGUAGCCUAGUGGUCAGACUGUAGGGGCGGCAGGUAGCCUAGUGGUUAGAGUGUA